CUGAGAAUUUACUGUGUGCCGGCACCAUGCUAGGUGCUAGGGAGACAAAGAUGUGGAACUCUCAUCCACACCCUCAAGGAACUUAUAGUCGAAUGCACCUACCGAAUGUCAAAUGGCACCAUCCUUAUCAUUGUUCAGAAGCUUAUAACCAGCACCAGCUUGUAUUACAUGCAACAAAGAACCAUAACAUUCUAGAAUGUCAGGUACAACUGAGACAGCUGUUUGUCUCCCAAUAUCCUUCAGACAAAGCCAUAUAUGAUUGAUGGUUAUCAGUACUGUGCUUUUGGAGGAUUCAGAAGAAGAAGUUAUAUCUGAUUGGGAGAUUGAAAAGGAUUGGCCUGAAGGAGAGGUGGUUUUUGAACUGCAUCUUAAAGGAUGAGGAAACUGAGGCUGAGAGGGUAGAGAACUUUGCCUGAGGUCACUCAGCAGGUAGGUGGUGGAGCCAGGGGUGUAACCCAGGCUGCGGGCCUCCACAUCAGAUACAGACAGAACAGGAAGAAGGUGUUGCAGAGGCUGGCGAUGCUGUGAUUCUCUGGGUAGCAAAGGGAGGGGACAUUCCCAGCAGAAGGAACGGUUUGUGUAAAGGGACCCACCCAUCACAGUAAAUGCCAGCACUGCUGAUGCCAAAACAAUGUUAUUUGUAGGCCCUCGGAAUUUGUGACCUGAAGGAAGAAGAGCAGGGCCGUGGGAAGUAUGUAACCAGUGUCAUGCCCCUGGUCCCAAGGAAGCAGUGGCUUAGUAAAGAGGGGACCCCCGUCAAUAACUCCCUGUAAUUACUGGGCACCCACUCUGAGCUCCUCAGUGGAAUCCUAAGGUUAAUAAGACUGUCUCUAGCCACUGGCAUUCCCAGCCUGGAGUGAGGUGAGAGUGGAGCCGGCUGGGGAGGGAGACGAACACAUACACAGAAGAUUCAGACACACCUGCAAUGUAUUGCUGGGGAUUCUCCAGCAUUGGCAUGACAGAGAGGGUGGAGAAUCAUUUGACCGCCUCCCCCUAGGAUUGCAGAGUUCAGCUGGCCAUCAUCCACCAGCCGGGGGACUGUGCACAUCAGUUAACCUCUCCUCUCAGGCCUUGAAAAGCGCCAGGCUUACUAUACGUUUGUUAAACGAAUGCACUUCAGUUUUUUUGCUUGUUAAAGGCAGGUAAUAAUAAUGAUAUUGCUGACUAAGGGCUCCCAUCCACUCCCAGUGAGCCCGGUGCCCCCCCGGGCCUCCUCAGUGAGCUGAGGAGGCUCAGCAGUGCCUGCACGUCCCCUCGCCACAAUGUCAUGUGCCACCUCUUCAAAGGAGGGAUGUACCAGCUAGUGGACGUGACCUUGACUGCAAAGGGCAGCACGCAGCUGAUGUAAUGGUCGCUUAAGUGUUCACAAAUGUAAGUCAUUACUAUUAUAAGUGGUGGGUGAUCAAGUGGCUAGGGGUGCUAUCUUUAGCAAAUAAAAAUAUAGGACGCACAGUUAAAUUUGAAUUUCAGAUAAGAAUUUCUUAGCAUAAGUAUGCCCUAUGCAAUAUAUGGGACACAUUUAUACCAAAAAAAUUCAAUAUUUAUCUGAAAUUCAAAUGUAACUGUGUGUCCUAGAUUUUAUCUGGCAGCCUUAUUGAUGGCGGCUUAUUGACUGGCUGGGAAUGACAGGGGUGUAGGCCAGGAAAUGGCUCUGUGAAGGCUGCCUAGAAUUGAAUCGAACAUGAGGAUGAGUCAGUGUCAAGACUCCCAGUGGGGCCAUUGGAUCAUUACUGCAUGAUCGUCUUAAGCCUUUGUUAGUGAAUCCCUCAGGCUCACGCCUUCUUCUCUCCAGGCCUGAACACCCUGUCCUACCUGGUCCUACCUGGAUGCUGGCCUCAGUAAGCUCCUGGGCUCAUUGAAGAUGAACCUAGCAGUAGUAUUUACACCACUUGUUGUGUGCCCACUGUGGGCCCGGCACCAUGCCCAGUGCUCUAUGGAUGUGAGAUGAGAACACUGAAGCAGUUUUUUCUAAAAAUAGCUGCCUGGCACAGUGGCUCACAUCUGUAGUCCCAGCACUUUGGGAGGCCAAGGCAGGUGGAUCACUUGAGGCCAGGAAUUCAAGACCAGCAUGGCCAACAUGUGCUGGGAGAGAAAAGCAUACGACAUAGACAGGAAGGUCAAGCUCCACCACGCAGAUGAGGUGCAGGCCACCAGGCUUCCUCUGCCACAUCUCUUUCUGAAAAGGCAGCCUGUGCUGAGAAACCAUGACUGAGUAAGCCAAGCUUUGUUGGCCGCACCUGCCAAGCCACAGGGUGCCUCAGGCUUGGAGCAUCCCGGAGCCAGUUACAACCCAAGACUUCAGCCUUCUGGAAGGUGUUGGGUCAGCUACCCUGAAGGACGAUCCUGCCCAAGUGACACGCUUUGCUCUUCCUUCUCACCCAGGACUUCACAUUCACCCUUGCAAUCCAUGUGGGGACACUGUUGGAUAGGAGGCGUGGUCCCAGUGUGGUCUCCCUGUCUGGGCCUCUGCCUAUGCCAAAUGUUUGCCUUACGCUGCACAAUCAAGAGGUUCCAUGUAUACAGAUGGGAAUUCCAGAGCUACAGAAAAGGCAGCAAGCACCAUGAUUCAAGCUAAUCAGUGUGGAUUCACACCUUCCUCUCUCUCUGUCAGUGGCAGAACUACCAGCUAGAGUAAGAAGUGAUUGAUCCAGGACCUAAACAUUCUGGAAACUCUUGCCCACUUCUGGGAGAAAUGACCCAAUCCAUAGUACUAAGCACACCUUAACUUUCGUAGGACGCAGGCAAGUUGUCAUACCGUGUGCCUAAAUAUAGAAAAAUGAUCCACUGGACUAAUAAAGUGUUAAAUAAAAUAUGU